rnacentral:rRNA from 1 species
AGUGUAGAUUCAGAGUUUGAUCCUGGCUCAGGACGAACGCUGGCGGCGCGCCUAACACAUGCAAGUCGAGCGAGAACCAGGGCUUCGGCCCUGGGGACAGCGGCGAACGGGUGAGUAACACGUGGAUAACCUGCCCUUGGCACCGGAAUAGCCCGAGGAAACUCGGAUUAAUGCCGGAUAGCCCCACAUCCCUGCGGGGAACGUGGGAAAAGGUAGCUUCGGCCUCUGGCCGGGGAUGGGUCCGCGGUGGAUUAGCUUGUUGGCGGGGUAACGGCCCACCAAGGCGACGAUCCAUAGCUGGUCUGAGAGGAUGAUCAGCCACACUGGGACUGAGACACGGCCCAG